AACGCACAUUGCGCCCGCCAGUAUUCUGGCGGGCAUGCCUGUCUGAGCGUCAUUUCAACCCUCAGCCCCCGUCCGCGGGGCGCUGGCGUUGGGGAUCGGCCGUCCUUGCGGCGGCCGGCCCCGAAACACAGUGGCGGUCUCCCGUAGACUCCCCUGCGUAGUAACACUACCUCGCAGAAGGGACGAGCGGGCUGGCCACGCCGUAAAACCCCCCACUUCUCAAGGUUGACCUCAGAUCAGGUAGGAAUACCCGCUGAACUUAA
rnacentral:misc_RNA from 1 species